rnacentral:rRNA from 1 species
GAUGAACGCCGGCGGUGUGCCUAAUACAUGCAAGUCGUACGCACUGGCCCAACUGAUUGAUGGUGCUUGCACCUGAUUGACGAUGGAUCACCAGUGAGUGGCGGACGGGUGAGUAACACGUAGGUAACCUGCCCCGGAGCGGGGGAUAACAUUUGGAAACAGAUGCUAAUACCGCAUAACAACACUAGACGCAUGUCUAGAGUUUGAAAGAUGGUUCUGCUAUCACUCUUGGAUGGACCUGCGGUGCAUUAGCUAGUUGGUAAGGUAACGGGCUUACCAAGGCAAUGAUGCAUAGCCGAGUUGAGAGACUGAUCGGCCACAUUGGGACUGAGACACGGCCCAA